rnacentral:rRNA from 1 species
UACGUAGGGGGGCAAGCGUUUGUCCGGAAUUAUUGGGCGUAAAGCGCGCGCAGGCGGCUAUUUAAGUCUGGUGUUUAAACCUUGGGCUCAACCUGGGGUCGCACUGGAAACUGGGUGGCUUGAGUACAGAAGAGGAAAGUGGAAUUCCACGUGUAGCGGUGAAAUGCGUAGAGAUGUGGAGGAACACCAGUGGCGAAGGCGACUUUCUGGGCUGUAACUGACGCUGAGGCGCGAAAGCGUGGGGAGCAAACAGG